GGGGGAAUAUUGCACAAUGGGCGCAAGCCUGAUGCAGCCAUGCCGCGUGUAUGAAGAAGGCCUUCGGGUUGUAAAGUACUUUCAGUCGGGAGGAAGGUGGUAAGGUUAAUAACCUUGGCAAUUGACGUUACCGACAGAAGAAGCACCGGCUAACUCCGUGCCAGCAGCCGCGGUAAUACGGAGGGUGCAAGCGUUAAUCGGAAUUACUGGGCGUAAAGCGCACGCAGGCGGUUGAUUGAGUCAGAUGUGAAAUCCCCGGGCUUAACCCGGGAAUUGCAUCUGAUACUGGUCAGCUAGAGGCUUGUAGAGGGGGGUAGAAUUCCAUGUGUAGCGGUGAAAUGCGUAGAGAUGUGGAGGAAUACCGGUGGCGAAGGCGGCCCCCUGGACAAAGACUGACGCUCAGGUGCGAAAGCGUGGGGAGCAAACAGG
rnacentral:rRNA from 1 species